rnacentral:lncRNA from 1 species
AGAAAAGAGGGCACGAAUGCACGCAAACGUUCCGUAAUAAUAUAAUGUAAUCAAAGGAGUUAAGAAAAUUGACUUAAAACAAACUAUGUUCACGCGAUAAGUUCAGUUAGACCAAUUCUCUUGAGGUUGUGAAUUAUGUUAUGCAUGGGCAAAUAAAUCGCAUAUAUAAGAAGAAACCUGAAGAUUGUCAGCACGAGAUGACGACACUUGCCAUUGUAAAACCUACAAUGUAAGGAACAUAAAAUCCGUAUAAACGCUAUAACAUAAUCCA